AUUCAGUCGGGCUUCCGUUGCACUUUCGGCCGAUUGAGCAAAACGGAUCCCAGAACUGGGCCGGGUCGGUCGGAAUGUCGCGGUUCUCGACGCAUUUUCUCCCGCUCUGAGGACGUCGCAGCCGGUUGGGAAGAGCUGGACGGACUGAAAGGCGGACGCUGGCAGGUGGCCGGUGGCGCGGCUUCGGCUGUGUCGUCGGUUGUUAGCCUGUUCGCCGUUAUGUCUCGUCCCCCGACCGAGGUUGUUUGAGGUCCGAAUGGACCCGUUUGAUGUCCGCCUCCUCCCUUUAGCAGGACAGCCGGGACUAGACUUUGAAGCAGGCGAUCGCCGACGGUGCGGCCGCACUCUCUGACUGAGUGGGCCAGUGCUGUCGCGACGUCGAUCGCUACUGCGUGCCCGUGGGAGUGCUGGCGGCUAGCGACGAGUAGGUCGGUCACCCACCCGACCCGUCUUGAAACACGGACCAAGGAGUCUAACAUGUGCGCGAGUCAAUGGGUCUUGAACAGGCCCAGAGGCGUAAUGAAAGCAAAGGGCGGCAGAACGCCGUCUGAGUUGGGAUCCUGGGGCUUCCCGCGUCCAAGGAGCACCAACGACCCGUCCUGUCCGAUUUAUUUCGGUUGGGCGGAGUAUGAGCGUACACGUUGGGACCCGAAAGAUGGUGAACUAUGCCCGGGCAGGACGAGGCCAGAGGAAACUCUGGUGGAGGUCCGUAGCGGUUCUGACGUGCAAA
rnacentral:rRNA from 1 species